ACGCUGGCGGCACGCCUAACACAUGCAAGUCGAACGAAGUAGCAAUACUUAGUGGCAGACGGGUGAGUAACAUGUAGGUAUCUGCCCUUUGGCCUGGAAUAACACGAGGAAACUUGUGCUAAUACCGGAUAAGUCUUUACGGAGAAAGCUUUAUGCACCAUUGGAUGAGCCUGCACUUGAUUAGUUUGUUGGUGGGGUAAUGGCCUACCAAGACUGUGAUCAAUAGCUGAUUUGAGAGGAUGAUCAGCCACAUUGGGACUGAGACACGGCCCAAACUCCUACGGGAGGCAGCAGUGGGGAAUCUUGCACAAUGGAGGAAACUCUGAUGCAGCGAUGCCGCGUGAGUGAAGAAGGCCCUUGGGUUGUAAAGCUCUUUCGUCGGGGAAGAAAAUGACUGUACCCGAAUAAGAAGGUCCGGCUAACUUCGUGCCAGCAGCCGCGGUAAUACGAAGGGACCUAGCGUAGUUCGGAAUUACUGGGCUUAAAGAGUUCGUAGGUGGUUGAAAAAGUUAGUGGUGAAAUCCCAGAGCUUAACUCUGGAACUGCCAUUAAAACUUUUCAGCUAGAGUAUGAUAGAGGAAAGCAGAAUUUCUAGUGUAGAGGUGAAAUUCGUAGAUAUUAGAAAGAAUACCAAUUGCGAAGGCAGCUUUCUGGAUCAUUACUGACACUGAGGAACGAAAGCAUGGGUAGCGAAGAGGAUUAGAUACCCUCGUAGUCCAUGCCGUAAACGAUGUGUGUUAGACGUUGGAAAUUUAUUUUCAGUGUCGCAGGGAAACCGAUAAACACACCGCCUGGGGAGUACGACCGCAAGGUUAAAACUCAAAUGAAUUGACGGGGACCCGCACAAGUAGUGGAGCAUGUGGUUUAAUUCGAAGAUACGCGCAGAACCUUACCAACACUUGACAUGUUCGUCGCGACUCUAAGAGAUUAGAGUUUUCGGUUCGGCCGGACGAAACACAGGUGCUGCAUGGCUGUCGUCAGCUCGUGUCGUGAGAUGUUGGGUUAAGUCCCGCAACGAGCGCAACCCUCACUUUUAGUUGCCAUCAUUAAGUUGGGCACUCUGAAAGAACUGCCAGUGAUAAGCUGGAGGAAGGUGGGGAUGACGUCAAGUCCUCAUGGCCCUUACGUGUUGGGCUACACACGUGCUACAAUGGUAUCUACAACAGGAAGCAAGACUGCGAAGUUAAGCAAAUCCCUAAAAGAUACCUCAGUUCGGAUUGCACUCUGCAACUCGAGUGCAUGAAGCUGGAAUUACUAGUAAUCGUGGAUCAGCAUGCCACGGUGAAUGCGUUCCCGGGUCUUGUACUCACCGCCCGU
rnacentral:rRNA from 1 species